rnacentral:rRNA from 1 species
GACGAACGCUGGCGGCGUGCUUAACACAUGCAAGUCGAACGGAAAGGCCCUGCUUUUGUGGGGUGCUCGAGUGGCGAACGGGUGAGUAACACGUGAGUAACCUGCCCUUGACUUUGGGAUAACUUCAGGAAACUGGGGCUAAUACCGGAUAGGAUCUCCUGCUGCAUGGUGGGGGUUGGAAAGUUUCGGCGGUUGGGGAUGGUCUCGCGGCUUAUCAGCUUGUUGGUGGGGUAGUGGCUUACCAAGGCUUUGACGGGUAGCCGGCCUGAGAGGGUGACCGGCCACAUUGGGACUGAGGUACGGCCCAGACUCCUACGGGAGGCAGCAGUGGGGAAUAUUUCACAAUGGGCGGGAGCCUGAUGCAGCAACGCCGCGUGCGGGAUGACGGCCUUCGGGUUAUAAACCGCUUUCGCCGGUGACGAGGCGUUAGUGACGGUAAUGGGUAAAGAAGCACCGGCUAACUACGUG